rnacentral:rRNA from 1 species
GAUGAACGCUGGCGGCGUGCCUAAUACAUGCAAGUCGAGCGAACAGAUAAGGAGCUUGCUCCUUUGAAGUUAGCGGCGGACGGGUGAGUAACACGUGGGUAACCUACCUAUAAGACUGGGAUAACUUCGGGAAACCGGAGCUAAUACCGGAUAACAUUUAGAACCGCAUGGCUCUAAAGUGAAAGAUGGUUUUGCUAUCACUUAUAGAUGGACCCGCGCCGUAUUAGCUAGUUGGUAAGGUAACGGCUUACCAAGGCGACGAUACGUAGCCGACCUGAGAGGGUGAUCGGCCACACUGGAACUGAGACACGGUCCAGACUCCUACGGGAGGCAGCAGUAGGGAAUCUUCCGCAAUGGGCGAAAGCCUGACGGAGCAACGCCGCGUGAGUGAUGAAGGGUUUCGGCUCGUAAAACUCUGUUAUUAGGGAAGAACAAAUGUGUAAGUAACUGUGCACAUCUUGACGGUACCUAAUCAGAAAGCCACGGCUAACUACGUGCCAGCAGCCGCGGUAAUACGUAGGUGGCAAGCGUUAUCCGGAAUUAUUGGGCGUAAAGCGCGCGUAGGCGGUUUCUUAAGUCUGAUGUGAAAGCCCACGGCUCAACCGUGGAGGGUCAUUGGAAACUGGGAAACUUGAGUGCAGAAGAGGAAAGUGGAAUUCCAUGUGUAGCGGUGAAAUGCGCAGAGAUAUGGAGGAACACCAGUGGCGAAGGCGACUUUCUGGUCUGUAACUGACGCUGAUGUGCGAAAGCGUGGGGAUCAAACAGGAUUAGAUACCCUGGUAGUCCACGCCGUAAACGAUGAGUGCUAAGUGUUAGGGGGUUUCCGCCCCUUAGUGCUGCAGCUAACGCAUUAAGCACUCCGCCUGGGGAGUACGACCGCAAGGUUGAAACUCAAAGGAAUUGACGGGGACCCGCACAAGCGGUGGAGCAUGUGGUUUAAUUCGAAGCAACGCGAAGAACCUUACCAAAUCUUGACAUCCUUUGAAAACUCUAGAGAUAGAGCCUUCCCCUUCGGGGGACAAAGUGACAGGUGGUGCAUGGUUGUCGUCAGCUCGUGUCGUGAGAUGUUGGGUUAGGUCCCGCAACGAGCGCAACCCUUAAGCUUAGUUGCCAUCAUUAAGUUGGGCACUCUAGGUUGACUGCCGGUGACAAACCGGAGGAAGGUGGGGAUGACGUCAAAUCAUCAUGCCCCUUAUGAUUUGGGCUACACACGUGCUACAAUGGACAAUACAAAGGGCAGCUAAACCGCGAGGUCAUGCAAAUCCCAUAAAGUUGUCCUCAGUUCGGAUUGUAGUCUGCAACUCGACUACAUGAAGCUGGAAUCGCUAGUAAUCGUAGAUCAGCAUGCUACGGUGAAUACGUUCCCGGGUCU